GUGGGGAAUCUUAGACAAUGGGGGAAACCCUGAUCUAGCCAUGCCGCGUGAGCGAUGAAGGCCUUAGGGUUGUAAAGCUCUUUCAGAUGGGAAGAUAAUGACGGUACCAUCAGAAGAAGCCCCGGCUAACUCCGUGCCAGCAGCCGCGGUAAUACGGAGGGGGCUAGCGUUGUUCGGAAUUACUGGGCGUAAAGCGCACGUAGGCGGACCAGAAAGUCAGAGGUGAAAUCCCAGGGCUCAACCUUGGAACUGCCUUUGAAACUCCUGGUCUUGAGGUCGAGAGAGGUGAGUGGAAUUCCGAGUGUAGAGGUGAAAUUCGUAGAUAUUCGGAGGAACACCAGUGGCGAAGGCGGCUCACUGGCUCGAUACUGACGCUGAGGUGCGAAAGCGUGGGGAGCAAACAGGAUUAGAAACCCUGGUAGUCC
rnacentral:rRNA from 1 species